UAAACGAAUGCAUGAGGAUGACUCACACGCUCGUGAAUCUCCCUCAACACAUCUUAGGCACAGAGUGGGUGUUAGCUGAAUACCCAGCAGCUGCAUACCAGCUGGCUGUCGUGAAGGAUGUUGUUAAUUCGGCACGAUUGAAUUGAGCGAGUCUCGCGCCCUGGGAACUAAGCCCAUGGGACGAACUCCCUCUCAGAGUGUUGGACUGCAACCGACCUAACAAAGCUCUUCGUUUGUUGGUGUGACACCAGUGUGACACCCUGGUCCCAAAGUAUUAUUGUUGUGCCUGAUUGGGAAUAACUAGCAGAAAUACCAGUACAAUUAUCCCAAGUUGAGUAUUAAACCCCUAAAUAUUGAUGUUACCAGUAAUAACGUUUGUUAUGUGGGUUGUGAGUACAUUAUUCAAAUGUACUACCAACUGAUUCCUACCUAUUAUUGUUGUACCUGAUUGGGGAUAACUAGCAGGAUUAUAGUUAUCUCAUGUUGAGUAUUGAACCCUUAAAUAUUGAUGUUACCAGUAAUAACGCCUGUUUUGUGAGUUGAGAGUGCUGUACAUCAUUUAUAUGUACUACCAACUGAUGUAAGAAGCGAGAGUAUCUAAUUGGAAUUGCAAAUGAAUAAGGCCAAGGAGUUGAUCCUUGUAAUUGUAUGUUAAAGACAUCUUUAACCAAACUUAAUUUCAUAACAAUAAACCAUGUUUAGAGUA